CUAGAAGUAGUUUUGUGGGACCAGCCUUGAAGGACUGCUUGGGAUCUGGCCCCCAUUCUUUCCAUAUUCAUUCAACACAGGCUUACUGAGGAGCAGGUGUGACUGGCUCAGGGAGAAACAGAGGUGGAAAAACCAAGGCACAGAGAAGCCAAGCAGCUGGCCACUGGGGCCCCACAGCUAGUUUAUCCUCUGAGACAAGUAUUGCUGUCUUCAAGCUUUUGUUGAGGAGAUGAGCUCAGAGAUGGAGGGAGUACUCACAAGACCACACAGCAAGACAGAGCUGGUGUUGGGAUUUGAAGACAGACAUCUGCACCUCCAUCUGCACCUCCCACAUGGAAUAAGAAAGUACCAAAACAUUUUCCUCUGACCACUUGGCCAACCAGAGAGCAGUGGGAAGGUGACCCUGUCCUUGGGCAGCCCAGCUGUAUCUCAGAUGGCCAGAGCUGACUCUCUGAAAAAAAUAUGCCAGAGGAGAUGAAUGUAUUACUGGAGAAAGAUAUCAGAAGGAACUGCGUUGUCCAUGAGAUUAGAGGGUUCAAGGCUCCUUAAUUUAGUCUAUACAGGCAGUUAACAGACCCAAGUUAACUGAGCUAAAAGCAGGACUCCCUCUACCCUCUGCGUGACCAGGGAGUGCAAUGCGGAUGGAAGUAAUAAAUUAAUACUAAAAUGGGAAAGUGAAAUGAAGCACAGAAAACAACUGCAGCAUGAGACAAUUCCUUUUUUUUUAAAGAGAGAGAGAGA